rnacentral:lncRNA from 10 species
CUUCUGCUUCGGCUCCUAGGGAUCUGGGGAUCAUGUGACCCAGAAACUGAUGCUCUGAGAGGCCAAGCAGUUUGCCCAAGAUUACACAGUCAUAGCCGUGCCUGGGAGAACCUUCUCUUCAACUCUGCCGCACCACUGUCAAGCUCACCUUUCUUCUAAGGUUUUAUUUUAGAGUUAACAUCCUCCAAAAAGCCUUCCUCAGGAGUUGAAGGUGCCCCUAAUAUCACAGCCAUGGCAUCCUGUACACUGGACCUUAUUGUCUGUCUGCCUGUUGUACCUUGUAUGAGUCUAUAAGCAAAACCUAUAAGAAGCCACAUCUGGCUAUUCUAUGUACUCAAAAAAUAAUUGGCAAGUGAAAGAAUGAGGAAAAGGAGAAAAAAUUCAGAAGGCCCCUACCCCUUCCAAUGGGUCAAGUCAGGAAUUUCCUACCUGCAUGUGAUUCCCUGUGUCCUAGAGGGUUUUAUUUACUCCUCAGACCUUGGAAACUGUUAACCAGAGUCUCUGUUUGGAGAUCUUAUCUGUGUGCUUCUCCAUGGGUGUUGUUUCCCUGUCUCUGCAGCCAUGCAUUCCUCAGCUCUUUAAGUGGUGGAGCCUGUCUGCCUGGAUAGAGUGCAAAAGCUACAGUGUAAUCUUGCUUUCUUUCAGGGCCACUGACCAGAGGAAAUAAAAACUGGACUGAUUGGGCUCUCCUGAUGUAGACCAGCCAGUGGCCCUCUAAGUUUCCUUCUAUGUUUAAAAUUCCUUAUCUGACAUUGCUAGCUGAUCAGCAGGCCCACAGGUCAGCUGAGGGCUUAUCUCCAGGGCUGGAGCUUCAAAGAGAUACAUGCACACGACUCCCCUGGGUCAGAUGGGCUGUGUCACAGUGAGUUGGGGAUAAUUUGGGAUCAGUCAACAUAACACACAUAACACAACCCAUUAAUUUUUUUUUUCAAAAAGC